UGCACAAGCCGGGAUUCGAACCCGGGACGCAUGCUUAUUAGCGAUAGAAGCUUGGGAAGCAUGCAUGCUAACCACUACACUACUUGUGC